UUGAGGGCCAUGCUAAGUUGUUGAGGCUGGCGUUGAACUUGCGAUCCUUCAGCCUCAGAAUCCCAAGUCUCUGGGAUUCUGUUUGCACCACUGCACCUGGUGGUAUAUUCAUUUCUUAAGUGCUGUGAACACCAUUUAGGAUGUAGAACAUCAUAGAGGACAAUGAUUCAUAUUGCUUUUUGGACAUAUUCCAGAGCUAUUCUGAUGUGGAAUCAUCUUUCCUUCAGUGGAGAAGAGUGUUGGAUAGAGGUGCUGGAUAGAAGUGGAUAGAGGUGCUGCUGGCCCACCUGCCAUUAUAACAGAGUAUUUGCUACCUAAAGCUCAUGAAGUUGGAUUGAAACUCCACUUUGUCUGGAAGAAGGAGGGCUCGAGGGUGAUGGAUGAAAUCAUGGAAAAGAGAAAGUAGAAUAAGGGAGAGGAGAAGACAGUCAGUAUCCAGGGAAGGACAUGACCUUUGAGCUUGACCUUUCCUGCUUUGUGUACUGAAGGUCUUCAGCUCAUAUUUGACUGGAAAAUUUGAUUUUUUGAUUAGGGAAAUAUGUCUGGGCAUUCCCUUCUGCUACUAGUCUCUCAGAUAGUUAAAUUCAAUGAAGUAGAUUUUUAGAAAAAAAUUGAGAUAAAAGAGUAAAUUGGGAGCAUGGUGGUGAAACCAUCUUUGGAUCAGUUGAGCAAAACAGCACUAGAAAGAUCUUAAAAGGUACCUGGAAGGAUGAGGUGAGAGGACAGGUGUGGCCAAUGGAGACAGAGCAAGGAUUCUGCAAAGGGAAGCACAAGGGGAUGAGGAAUCCUGAGAAGGCAGGAGAGGUGGGUGCUGAGUCACCACUGUCUGGGGAGAGCUGCUCACAAGUGCGUCGAAGGAGGUAACUCUUCCUUGGAGCCUGGAAAGGCAGGAGGCCCUGGUCACUCUUUGAGCCUUGCCAUGUUGAGCCCUGGCUUAACAGACCAACUUAGCGAGGGUCACUGAGAGAUGGCCUCACCAAGUCCUGCUGUUUCUGAGCUGCUCUUCCUUUCCUCAUCUCCCUCCAGCAUGAUAACCCAUAUGAUGCAGGCUGCAGAAGAAAAUGUUUCAUCAUUCUCUGCGCACCCUUGGGACCCAAGUACAUGUCAGAGGCUCUGUGCAUUCAGGUGGAGCAGGGCACCACCUGGGGGCCAACAUUACAUCUUAAAAAAUUUCCUUGGGCCCAAGUCUGCAACUCAGGCCCUCCCGAGGUGUGGCAAAUCUGCACCCUUACAGAAGGCCAGUGCUGCAACAUCCCACCCGGUGAUGCCAGGAUGUGAGCCCUACAUCAAGGUCUCUUGGGCCUGAGCCCUCACAAAAUCCCCUGUUGGGGCUGCCAUGGCCCCCAUAGUUAUCUAAGCCUUAUAAAAUAUAUUUUUUGUUGGUUUUUA